AUGAGGGAAGAUGGACGGCAGCAAGUUUGUAUUGUAGGAUUGCAAGAAUUUGAAGUUUUUGAUGUUCAAAUUGUCAAAGACUUCAUUGAAAAGGGAAAUGCUUCAAUAAGUACAGGAUCCACGGGUGCUAACGAGGAGUCCUCCAGGUCGCAUGCUAUCUUACAAUUGGUUGUAAAGAAGCACAAUGAGAUUAUGCGAAACAAAAUGAAUCACGAGUUGGGACAAAUCGGGGUGAAGCUGGACGGAUCAAUGAAGCUGGAGGCGCAGCCGAAAGCGGAGCUGAGACAGAGAGUUGAGUGA